GGCUCAGAUUGAACGCUGGCGGCAUGCCUUACACAUGCAAGUCGAACGGCAGCACGGACUUCGGUCUGGGUGGCGAGUGGCGAACGGGUGAGUAAUGUAUCGGAACGUACCUUCAGUGGGGAUAACGUAGCGAAAGUUACGCUAAUACCGCAUAUCCUGUGAGCAGGAAAGCAGGGGAUCGCAAGACCUUGCGCUGAUUGAGCGGCCGAUAUCAGAUUAGCUAGUUGGUGAGGUAAAGGCUCACCAAGGCGACGAUCUGUAGCGGGUCUGAGAGGAUGAUCCGCCACACUGGAACUGAGACACGGUCCAGACUCCUACGGGAGGCAGCAGUGGGGAAUUUUGGACAAUGGGGGCAACCCUGAUCCAGCCAUGCCGCGUGAGUGAAGAAGGCCUUCGGGUUGUAAAGCUCUUUCGGCCGGGAAGAAAUCGCAUGGGCUAAUACCCUGUGCGGAUGACGGUACCGGCAUAAGAAGCACCGGCUAACUACGUG
rnacentral:rRNA from 1 species